rnacentral:misc_RNA from 1 species
GAUGAAGAACGUAGCGAAAUGCGAUAAGUAAUGUGAAUUGCAGAAUUCAGUGAAUCAUCGAAUCUUUGAACGCACAUUGCGCCCCCUGGUAUUCCGGGGGGCAUGCCUGUUCGAGCGUCAUUACAACCCUCAAGCUCUGCUUGGUGUUGGGCCCCGCCGCCCCGGCGGGCCCUAAAAUCAGUGGCGGUGCCGUCCGGCUCCGAGCGUAGUAAUUCUUCUCGCUCUGGAGGUCCGGGUGUGUGCUCGUCAGCAACCCCCAAUUUUUUUCAGGUUGACCUCGGAUCAGGUAGGGAUACCCGCUGAACUUAAGCAUAUCAAUAAGCGGAGGA